rnacentral:rRNA from 1 species
CAUCCUCCAAGGCUAAAUACUCCUGACUGACCGAUAGUGAACCAGUACCGUGAGGGAAAGGCGAAAAGAACCCCGGCGAGGGGAGUGAAAAAGAACCUGAAACCGUGUACGUACAAGCAGUGGGAGCCCCACCACCAAAGCAUUCUAUGGUGUUGAAGGCCCUGCAAAGCAGCAUCGCGGUGGCGGAGCGUCGUUUGCGACGCCCAACACACAAAACAAGCGGUGAGUGCUUUGGGGUGGGGUGACUGCGUACCUUUUGUAUAAUGGGUCAGCGACUUAUAUUCUGUAGCAAGGUUAACCGAAUAGGGGAGCCGGAGGGAAACCGAGUCUUAAUUGGGCGUUAAGUUGCAGGGUAUAGACCCGAAACC